UGGGGAAUAUUGCACAAUGGAGGGAACUCUGAUGCAGCGACGCCGCGUGAACGAAGAAGGCUUUCGAGUCGUAACGUUCUUUUAUAUGGGAAGAUAAUGACGGUACCAUAAGAAAAAGCCCCGGCUAACUACGUGCCAGCAGCCGCGGUAAUACGUAGGGGGCUAGCGUUGUCCGGAAUCACUGGGCGUAAAGGGUUCGCAGGCGGAAAUGCAAGUCAGGUGUAAAAAGAAGUAGCUUAACUACUGUAAGCAUUUGAAACUGCAUAUCUUGAGAAGAGUAGAGGAAAGUGGAAUUUUUAGUGUAGCGGUGAAAUGCGUAGAUAUUAAGAAGAAUACCGGUGGCGAAGACGACUUACUGGGCUCAUUCUGACGCUGAGGAACGAAAGCGUGGGUAGCAAACAGG
rnacentral:rRNA from 1 species